rnacentral:rRNA from 1 species
UACGUAGGGUGCGAGCGUUAAUCGGAAUUACUGGGCGUAAAGCGUGCGUAGGCGGUCCCGCAAGUCCGCGUGUCGAAAGUCCAGGGCUCAACCCUGGGGAUGCCGGUGGAUACUGUCGGGCUCGAGUCCGGAAGAGGAGUGUGGAAUUCCUGGUGUAGCGGUGAAAUGCGCAGAUAUCAGGAGGAACACCAAUGGCGAAGGCAGCACUCUGGGGACG